UCUUCCCUCUGUCGGCGUGCCUAACACAUGCAAGUCGAGCGGCAGCGAGGGGUGCUUGCACCCUGUCGGCGAGCGGCGGACGGCUGAGUAACGCGUGGGAACGUGCCCCAAAGUGAGGAAUAACUGCCCGAAAGGGUAGCUAAUACCGCAUAUUAUCUUCGGAUCAAAGGAUUUAUCCGCUUUGGGAGCGGCUCGCGUCGGAUUAGGUAGUUGGUGAGGUAAUGGCUCACCAAGCCGACGAUCCGUAGCUGGUCUGAGAGGAUGACCAGCCAGACUGGAACUGAGACACGGUCCAGACUCCUACGGGAGGCAGCAGUGAGGAAUCUUCCACAAUGGGCGAAAGCAUGAUGGAGCAACGCCGCGUGCAGGACGAAGGCCUUCGGGUUGUAAACUGCUUUUAUAAGUGAGGAAUAUGACGGUAACUUAUGAAUAAGGAUCGGCUAACUACGUG
rnacentral:rRNA from 1 species